GGGCCCAGCCAGGGCAGUGGGUGGUGACCUGUUUCUGGCCGGGGCUGGCAGCUCUCUCAGAGCCUUAGGAAGAAGCCCGGCCUCCUGGUGGGGCAGUGCCGGCCACAGCAUGGCUGCCCUGCAGAGGGGCUUGUGCCGCUGCUGGACUGACAGGCUUGCGAGGCUUUGCUUGUCUCGGCAUGGCAGGCAAGUGGGUGGACAGCCCCGGCCCCUGUGCAGGGAGGUGACUGUCGGGUCCAAGGCUCCUGGCCGCCUGCCUGGAGCCCAAGCCAAUGUGUCUCUUGCUGGCCAGAGAGCUGUGGGGCCACCAGGCGGCCCAGGACCCGGGGAGGUGAGGCCCCACGUCCCCCAGGCCCAUCCUGGGUGUGGGCUGUGGCUUGGUUGGCAGGUGGCCCCGGCCCAUUGUCCCGAGGUGGCUGAGGCCGUGGUGGGCGGUGGGAGUGCAGGACGCGCUCUCUCGGGGCCUCAUUUCUCUCCUCCAUUUCUCAUCAGGUCUGGCAAACCACGGACAGACCAGGCACAUGGGACCAAGCCGGAACCUCCUGCUCAACGGGAAGUCUUACCCCACCAAAGUGCGCCUGAUCCGGGGGGGCUCCCUGCCCCCAGUCAAGCGGCGGCGGAUGAACUGGAUCGACGCCCCGGAUGACGUGUUCUACAUGGCCACAGAGGAGACCAGGUGGGGCCUUCCCAGGGCAGGCGGGAGGGCUCGGCACAGCGUCCCGGGCCUCACCACCACCUGUGCCCACAGGAAGAUCCGCAAGCUGCUCUCAUCCUCGGAAACCAAGCGUGCUGCCCGCCGGCCCUACAAGCCCAUCGCCCUGCGCCAGAGCCAGGCCCUGCCGCUGCGGCCACCGCCACCUGCGCCCGUCAACGACGAGCCCAUCGUCAUCGAGGACUAGGGGCCGCCCCCACCU
rnacentral:sRNA from 1 species